ensembl:rRNA 5S_rRNA 5S ribosomal RNA
GUCUAUGACCAUGCCACCCUGAGCACACCCAAUCGCAUCUGAUCUCGGAAGCUAAGCAGGGUCGGGCCUGGUUAGUACUUGGAUAGGAGACCACCCAGGAAGACUGGAUGCUGUAGGCA